GGGUCAAUAACUCAAUGGUAGAGUACUCGGCUUUUAACCGAAUUGUUCUGGGUUCGAGUCCCAGUUGACCCA
rnacentral:tRNA from 3 species